GUACAUAUAUGUCAAAUAUGUAUAUAAAUAUAUUUACCCUAAAAAUCUUGUUUUCCCUUAAAUUAGGGAUUUUUUACUCUCAGCAUUCUAUACCUUAACAAAUUCAUUAAUCUAUUUUAUAAUUUCUAGAAACAGAUAAUUCUUCACAGUAAAAUUUUCAAUUUGACAUAGGACCUAUCUACCAAUAAACCCAAACAUCUUUGUUCUGUAAAAUGAAGCCAAAAAUGGGUUAAACCUAUGUUCAGUAAUUAAUGUUUCAGUAUUUUAUUAUCUAUGGAAAUAAUCUGGAUAUUCAGUGAAUUUAACUUAUUGUUUAACUUAGUUUUGCAAAACUUGAAGGUUUCAGGUUACCAAAAAGGUUUGAAGAAAUUUUAAAAGUUCACCGAAAAACUUUUUAUCCUGCUUACAUCUAUUUACUCUACUUGUUCUUAGCAAAGACUACCCACAGAAAACUUCAUUACACAUUAUACAGUGUCUUUACAAUUUAUUUUUUUUGGUUGACAAAUUUUAUAACAGAUAACAUGAACUUAUUUGAUUAAUAAUCCCAGGUUGAAUAAAAUUUUUACAUUUAAUGCUGAUAACUAUAAAUAUAUUAAUUAAACCAACAACCUUAAACUUCCUAUUAUACCAAAUUUUUUUCAAAUCACAUAGACCUGAAAUUCAUUUGUGUUUUAUUUCUGAGAAUUUAAUUUAUAUAAGUGCCUAGGUUAUUGAAGCCAAACAUAUAUAGACACACAUAAAUAAACAGACCCAGAAACCUUACAAUUUUGUUCUAAAAUUUUAGUCAUGAGAUGCAUACGAUAAUGCAAAACUCUCUUAUAAACUCUGUUUAUAAAAGAACAGUUGGGAUAAGUUAAAUUUAUCUAUUCAGAUGGCUAAAACUUUUUAGAAAAUACUUAAGAUUUGUAUUUGUCCUUGACAAGUAAUCUUAAUGCACUUUUUCCAAGAAGAGGUUUGGAAUUCCUGUGGCCAGAAAUUUUAUGAUUCUUGCUAGACUUUUGAGAUAAAUAGUCGAAAAAAAUGAAUAGGUGGAAUUUGAACUACUUCUUAAGCUGUAUUUCUAGUUUUGUGAAGAUUUGCAAAGUAAGGACAGUUGCCUCAAUUCUUCAAAGAACUGGGUUGUAGCCUGGAUGAUAAAGCACUGACAUACCCUUCCACCUUUGUUGUAAUGUUUUUCUUUCCCUCUGGAUACAUUUAGCUUAGAGCAAAAGACCUUUAAAAAUUUCCUCUUAGGCUCUAGAUAUCAAUUUCUAAUUUGGCCAAAUUUCUGAUCAUAGAGUUUUUAGAUUCUUUCAGAUAUCUUAUGUCAUUGUCAGGCUUUAGCUAAGACAGACAGUAAAUAUUUCUGGCAGUAUUAAACAGCCCCAUGGACCUCAGAGGUGUGCAAAACUUAUUACAUCCCCAAGAUCUAGAGUCACUCUCAGCAAUAGCCAAAGAAAAACUGACAGCCUGCAUCUCCCAGGUAGGCAGAAAGCCAAGCUAAGUUCUUACUGGACACAAAAUGACAUAAGCCUGAAGGCAAUAGCUAUUCCUGGGAGGCAAAGGAUCAGUGAUCUAUGGGUCUGGAUUUGGAAAAGAAGCAACAACAUGAAAUUUUAUUUUCCUUUCUUGACCAGGCACUAUAAACAGAAACCUAAGGAGCAAACUCUGGCAAGAAUUUUUACCCUUGGCUGUCUUCUGCCGAUUUUCCUAGAAUACCCUCUGUGGGCUCCAGUAUCUACCAGAAUUUGACAAGAUUUUUCAUUAAUUUUAGUUAUUCUUGGCUGUUUAAAGGAAUAAUGUAGUAGUUUACCAGAAUUAACACUCAGAGUUUUUGUCAGCCCUGGGAGGGACCUGUACAGACACCUCCUUUAAAGGUAGAAUGGGGUUGUCUAUCAGGCCAUUAACUUGGUGGAUUUUCAUUUAUGGUUGUGUAGUCUUUUCAGAGUGGAAAAACAAUUCAGACAGAUUAUUACUUGAAUGAGUACACAAGUAAAGGAGGAUAGAGGAUAGCAGUAGAAGUUAUUUCAGACUUAGAGUCCUUUGUUUUAGGUACCUCUUAAUAUCUAAUUUUUCAUUAGCCUUUUACAACAGAUCUUUUCAAUGAAGCCAUUUUGGGAUUUUGAAGCCUUUUGGAGUCUUCUGCAUGCCAAUUAAAAUAGAUAUCACAUACUGUUUGUUUCUUUGACAGCCCUUGCUUUCAAGUGCACUUCUUAAAUGAUCUUAUCUAGUUGGGAUGUUCCUCAUAAUGUAAUUCUAGGUUGUUUUUAGGAAUAUUUUGCCAUUUUUGUAGAUGUCUAUAGCAUGAAAUAAGUAGAUGUGCCAGAAAUUGUCCCACUUACCUCAAAGAUUUUAAGUAUAUUAUUAUAAUUGUUGUUGUUGUUGCUAAGUCUUUGGGUCUCUGAGAGCCCAGUUAAUACCUAGAAAGGAUGCACUGAUAGGUUGGAAACUAUGUGAUAUUUUACAGUGUACCUUGUUGCACACAAAUUUUCUUGAGAUUGAUAGGUGACUUACUGUUAAUCUAACCCAUUCUGUGAUCUACUGUUAAUCUAACCCAUUCUGUGACUGACUUAGCCUAAUACAGAGGUCCUUGGGUUAAGAUUCCAAUUAGCAGUAACCUUUACUUAAAACAAAAUUUUAUUCACCCAAGGCUUCACUCAGUCCAGCUUAAAUUGUACCCAGUUUGAUCAGAUCCCAUUCAGCUUCAGCCAGUAGUCACCAGCAAUUUCCAGUGUGUAGUCUGGAGAUUGUGAAAACAAUUGAACCAGCAGACCUCAACACAUGAGGACUGCAGACUGGGGGUUCCACAUAAAUGGGAAAUUGAAAACUACCACUGAGUUCUCACAUGGAUCUUAGAAUGGAAUUAAAGAUAUGGGGUUUCCAAUCAAAUGGGGCCCUGUGAAAAGCCAGUUAAAGUGGGAGCUCAAAGCAGAGAGAGCAGAGCUCAGAACUGAGAGGAACUUACUCAUGGUCCUCAGUAACAGUGAGAAAAACAGUGAACUCAGUGCAUUCACAGGUGCCACACCUGUGUUUCUCAUCCUCUAUUGCCAUUGAAAGUUUGGUUAAAAGCCCAGAACUGCCACCAGAUUUGUUAAACAACAAAAUUCUGCUGAGUAAAUUUAAAGACCAACUUGGCUUUAUUCAACAAUUUUUGAAUUGGGUAGCAUCCCAUCUCACACACAGAAAGAAGCUCCAAGGGAGUAUACAAAAUGGAAGACUUUUAUAGACAGAAGGGCACAGGCACAAGGAAAAAAAAAAGCAGGUUAUCUUCUCUGUCUUUGGAGGGUAGAGGGGCAUCUAUCAGGUGGAUGACCUUACUACUACUGAUCAGGAAAUUCUAGACUGAUUGAUUAAGACUACAUUCUGGGGAGCGGCUGAAACUGCUGUUAGGUUAGAUAUGAAGUCUUGGUUUGCUGAUAUGGGACUUAACAUAAGUGACUCUAUUCUGGGCCUUUUGUUUCCUAUUACACACCUCAUCUCAAAAGCGACACUUACGUUCACUAGAAGCUAGUCACUAAGUCCUGCCAUACUCAAGUGAAGAAGUGAGUUCCAUACCUUUUGAAGAGAAUAUUAAAUAAGUUUUGAAUAUAUUCUUAAAACCAUCACACUACAUGUUUUCUCAUCCAUAAAAUGGGAAAGUGAGAUUUGAUAGGAGCUCAAUAAUGGUAAGUAUUUUGCUGUGACGAUGAUGGUAAUCAUUAUCAUCCUCCUCCUCAGUAUUUCUAAGGAACUUUACACCCAACCAAAGUAUCUUGAUGUGUGAAAUUCUCCCCCCCCCAAAUCUAUAUAUUUUAUUAACUGUCAAAUAUCAUAAAAACCUACAUUUUAAAUGAAAAUAUACUCUGAAACUAAAGCUAGACUAUGUAUAACCAAAGAAGUUUUAGACUGGUAUCAUUAUGAUCAUGGAUAAGAACAUCUGUAAGAAUUUAUUAUUGAAAGAUUAGAAGAGUAAGCUGUGUCACCAUAUAGAGUUUAUUCCUCUAACACACAAUAGUGAUUCUCUCAGGUAACUUAAAAAUUAUUCUACACUUUGGCCCAUAAUUCAUCUUUGUGAUUUUUGUCUUAAGUAAAUUAUUCCAAAAUAUUUUAUAUAAAAGUAUGUUUAGCACCAGAUGGUAUUUUUCGUUGGCAGCCUCUAAGAUGGCCCUUAAUAAUUGAUCCCCAUCUUCUUAUGUUCACAUUCUUGUAUGAUCCCCUCCUGCUGAAUGACUAGAUUUGGUGACUCACUCAUAACAAAUAGAUUGUUAUAAAACACUGUGGCUUCUGUCUUGGGGGCUGCUACUCUCUUUUUACACAUGCUAAGUGUGAUUUUAACUACACUUGGGAUCAAUCUUUUUUUUUCCCUCACCCCAGAAGCUUACGAGAAGGAAACAUAUGAAGUAAUGAUACUCUAUGUGGAAACAUAUGAAGUAGUGAUACUCUAUGUCUUUAAGUGUUAGGACUGUGUGAUUUGUUCUGCUUUUCUUUAUUUUUCUCUUCCCUUUCAAUAUCAUGUAUUAUUUUAUAGUGGAGAAAUGCUUAUGAAGAAAAAGGGAAGAUUGGGAAAACCAGAGGAAAAGAACAAAGAACAUGUAGGUUUAAACACAUGCAACAUUUGAGAAAUAUUUGGGGAGAAAAAGUUGUGAAUUUAUGCAUUUAUAUUUAAGUAUAUACAAGAAAGAUAUAUAUUUCAAGAUUAUGUAAUAUUUAAAAUUUGUCUAGUGAUCAUAUAUCACUUAUAAUAAGAAAAGUAAUGCAACAUGAGAUGUUUACAAAAAAUACUGGUAAAUUUGUACCUGGUACUCUCAGAUGAAAAGUACUAUGUAAAUCCACAACAUUAUUUCUUGAUGAUAAUUUAGUCACAAUUUAUUUUGAGUUCAAUAGUAAUUUAGGCAACAGAAUUUACUAGCACAUCUUUGCUAGUUUGUUUGUGCACAGAUCUCAAUCCUUCAACCAAUGAAGACUUUUGGCAUCAAUAUUUUUGUAAACGACAUUCAGCAAUGCUUUGCUAUCCAACCUUCUCAUUGUCAGUUUACCUCCCAUCUUCCAGUUCAUUCUCUCUCAUGUUGGUGCCUUCCAUGAUGGCUGAUUCCACCUCCUCUGGAGUCUGUUGCAGAUCACUACAGUGUAGCUGUCUAGCCAAGAUCUCCUGAACAGAAACAUUAAAUUGCUUCAGAUUAUUUGGACCAGUUACAUUUUCUGCAGCAAGAACUGAAAUAAAGCAAGGUUUUGUUUCUUUUCUUAUUCAUUUGUCAUUAGCAGUAGCAUUGUGUUUAGAAAAAUAGGUUGUAUUUUUCCACUUUUGAGCCGUUUGUUCUUAAAAUUACCUGGAACACUUUGCGAAAAUUGGAGUUCAUUACAUGUAUUCACAACUAAUGUUCAUUCUUUGUGUUUUAUUUUCUGAAGUCGUCAAACCAUAUGAAAGUCUCCAAAGUACCAAAUUUACUAGAAUUUAGAGUUUUUAAAAAACACAUCUACACUGGAAAAUACGCAUCUCUCUGACAGUAAAUAUAAUUUCAGAAGCCACUUUUGGGGAUACCAUUUUUCAUACACUCAUGUUUCAGACAGUAUUAGAGCUUCACCUCCAAAAUGCAAGAGGAAGAGAAUAUUAAACUAUUUUAAUGGCCAGUGUAAAUAUCAUUUGGCUGCAAGUGUAUUUGUUCCUAAGUUAACUUACUUAAAGGGAAAAAAGUCAUAAUUGAGAAGAGCAAAUAAUGUUCUCUAGUCUGUUUUUAGUUUUUUUUUUUUAAUUGAAUGCUUUUAAAAUGUAUUUUCCUUAAAAAAGUGCACCAUAAGAGACUUUUUUCUUUAUUUUGACUGUCUUUUCUAUCCUGCAAUCUUAGAGCCACAUAUGUGUGGACAUAAUAAUGUGUAUUCUUUUUAAUCUAUAAGAUGAUGCAUGUAAAUUCUCCCUACUGAGCCUUAAGAGCUACUUCAAUUUGAACUGUGUAGUAAUUUGGCAUUUUCAUUUUCUCUGAUUUAACUGAUGUCUAUAAAUAAAGGCUGCAACUUAUUUUAAUAAUAAAAAACCCAUUAUCGCUAUAUAGCAGAGAUAACGUAUUAUCAUUACUACCAUUAACAACUGCUGGUGUUAAUAAUACAUAUUUUUUGCUUCAUCCCAGAGCAACCUGCAUUUGAAGCAAAGGAUUGAGGUUGAAGCCAUCCUAGUGAAUAUUUUUGGUGGAAUCGUCAACUGUGCCAUCAUUGCCAAUGGGAUCACCAAAGCAUGCCGGGAGCUGGAACUCAAGGUGCCUCUGGUGGUCCGGCUUGAAGGAACCAAUGUCCACGAAGCCCAGAACAUUCUCACUAACAGCGGACUCCCCAUUACUUCGGCUGUCGACCUGGAGGAUGCAGCCAAGAAGGCUGUGGCCAGCGUGACUAAGAAGUGAUGCCUUUGUCCUGAUCCCUCGGAGGAAGAAGUUUUCCCAUAAGAAGGGAUUGUUCUCUCAUCACUGUGAAAGAAAUGGUUAUCCCAAUGAGGGGAAAAAAAAAAAAAAA
rnacentral:lncRNA from 1 species